rnacentral:rRNA from 1 species
CCCGAUAGGCCAAAGUGUUGGAGGGUGCCGCCGGGAGCCUCAGGGCUCUCGGCCGCGCUGGUGCUUCGCUGCAGCGUCCGCUGCAGGGCGGGACAACCCCCCCGGGGGACGUGGACCGCCCGCGGACGCUGAGCCACGGCGAGGCUUAAUUGCUGUGAUGCCCUUAGAUGUUCUGGGCCGCACGCGCGCUACACUGACGGAGCCAGCGAGUACUUCCUUGGCCGAAAGGCCCGGGUAAUCUUGUGAAACUC